rnacentral:misc_RNA from 1 species
AGUGAGAGUGCGUAGAGCACAACGAGGACGAUGCUGGAAAGAGUGCUCUCUUCUCGCAGGGCGACGCCGGUCAGUGACGACGGCGAUGAGACUGGCGACGAAUCCAAAACUCGGAAGCACAUAUCUGUGGCGACGAGGGUUACAAAUUACGUGAUUCGAACUGGUCAUCUCUGGCCAUGCCUUCUCAUAGGGCUUGUGAUUGUGUUGGUAACUUCUUUCGUUUAUCACACUCGCGACUUAGUAUGUAUCUCCGCUUCCUCUUCCGAUCACCUUUCUCGUUUGCGAUUCUUUGGCUUCGAAGGCCUGGAAACGGACUUCGGAUCUCUCGGUGUUCCUUGGUGCAGAACGAAACAUGACAGAACUGUUGAAUGGACCACAAAGGAUUUAAUCAAAGGUCUGGAGGAGUUUGUGCCCAUAUAUGAGACACGGCCUAUCAAGAAUAACAUGUAUGGUAUGGGUUUUGAUCACAGCUUUGGGCUCUGGUUUAUCACUCGGUGGUUAAAACCAGAGUUGAUGAUUGAGAGUGGUGCAUUCAAGGGACACUCAACUUGGGUCUUGAGACAAGCAAUGCCAGAUACACGAAUCAUCUCACUUACACCCCGUCAUCCUGAGAAGUAUCUAAAGAAAGGGCCUGCCUACGUUGAUGAGAAUUGCACGUACUUCGCUGGAAAAGACUUUGUUGAUUUUGGAAAUGUUGAUUGGGGGAAAGUUAUGAAGAAGCAUGGAAUCAAGGAUCGUAGCCAGGUUCUUGUCUUUUUUGAUGAUCAUCAAAAUGAAUUGAAAAGACUGAAGCAAGCACUAAAAGCUGGGUUUAGGCAUCUUGUGUUUGAGGACAAUUAUGAUACUGGUACAGGAGACCACUACUCUUUCAGGCAAAUGUGCGAUCAAUUUUAUAUUAGAGGUGGAGGCCAUAGCUGCUUUAAGGACAGUGAUGAAGGAAGGAUCAGAGCAAGAAGGAAGAAAUUCUGGGAGAAGGCUGUUGACAUUGAUGAACUUUGCGGUCCUGGUGAAGCUUGGUGGGGUGUGAGAGGGCAGAUGCGGGAUGAUUUUAACCACAGUAAUAAGGCCAUUUCUUAUGCAGAACAUUUUAAAAAUAGCAGGUUUGUAGAGUCAGUGUUAGAUGUUUACUGGGAGCUUCCACCCGUGGCUGGUCCUUCAUUAACUCAUCAGACAAGAUACGAUCCGGCUCGGGCAUCAAGUCCUAUUGUUGAAGAUGGCAGGUAUGGCUUGUUUCGGAGGCUUGGGUUAUCUGGACUGGAGGCAUCUGUAUUCAAUGGUUACACUCAAAUGGUCUAUCUUCAGGUGUCUCAAGAAUGAGAUUUUGGUUGCCACUGCAUAUAAGUUGUAGUUUUGUAUUAGCGAUCUCUGUGUCAACUGUUCUUUUAGUUGUUUCUGGUGCAACUCUUGAGAGGCUGUCUCUGUGCUGCCAAUAGAUUUUACUCCGACAAUCUUUCAGAUGUCCAUUUAUCCACUGGUCACUCUGAUGUUUGUGCAGAGUAACGGAUGUCUGAUGAGUUAAAUUUAUCCCAUCUGUAUAAUGUGCUCGUAAAUUAUAUUCUAGAAAAUAGCCUAUGUUGAAACAACCCUCCUUGUGCUUGCUAAU